GGGACCUGUGCGGUGUUUGAUGAUGCCUGUAAGGGACGAAGUUCCAGAAAUGGAAUUACCGAGUCGGAUGAGAAACACAAGUCAUCAAUGAAUUAACAAGCAACACAUUGUCACAUCCAGCUAUGGAAGAGUGGUUAACUCAGCUUGAUCUCCGAAGACUCUUCUGCACCCCACCCCGCCCCCAACUGCUUUCCAAAGAGAAACAGAAAAUGAUUGAGUCCCAGGAACCAGUGACAUUUGAGGAUGUGGCUGUGGACUUCACCCAGGAAGAGUGGCAGCAGCUGAAUCCUGCUCAGAAGACCCUGCAUAGGGAUGUGAUGCUGGAGACCUAUAAUCACCUGGUCUC